rnacentral:rRNA from 1 species
UGGGGAAUAUUGGACAAUGGGCGAAAGCCUGAUCCAGCAAUGCCGCGUGUGUGAAGAAGGUCUUCGGAAUUGUAAAGCACUUUCGACGGGGACGAUGAUGACGGUACCCGUAGAAGAAGCCCCGGCUAACUUCGUGCUAG